ensembl:lncRNA
CUCUUUUUUUUUUUUUUUUGCUGAGGAAGAUUGGCCCUGAGCUAACAUCUGUUGCCAAUCCUCCUCUUUUUUUGCUCGAGGAAGAUUGUUGCUGAGCUAACAUCUGUGCCCAUCUUCCUCUACUUUGUAUGUGGGACGCUGCCAAAGCAUGGCUGAUGAGGGGAGCAGGACCACACUGGGAUCUGAACCCAUAAACCCUGGGCCGCCGAAGGAAAACGUGCAAACUUAACCACUCUGCCACCAAGCUGGCCCCUGUAAACAUUUUUAACAGCAUGGUGGUGGUGUUCCUUGUCAAGGCAAGCAGCACGUGAUCUCCUUCUAGUGCAAUAUGCCUGGCAGCCCCGUCUCCUCUGUCCCCAUUUGUCUAAUUGAUGCGAGCUCCCAGAUACCCCCCCGUACCGGCCCUGGGAGGGAGAAGAAAGCACAGGCCCAGGAGUCAGGAGAGCUGCAUCUGGCCCUGUUUCUGCCACUGACUUGCUGUGUGACUUUGGGCAAGCCCCUGGCCCUCUCUGGGCCUCAAUUUCCAGAUCUACGCACAUUGAGAGGAUUGGACUGGAGGACGUCUCUGGGCCUUUCCAGUCCUACAUCCUGUUCCAUUCUUUCCUAAAUUGAGGUGAGUUUUCUUUGGGGGCUUUGGGAGAAUUCUGAGGCUCUACUAGAGAUAACGGGACGUGUCCUUAGGGUGGGAAGCCCUGACCCAUGGGGCUGACCCCCCAGAGUCACUCUGUCCCCACCCGGGUGAGCCGGCGCCACAGAGGAGAGCCCUGCCCUGGGGCCACCCAGUUGUGGCCCAUUCAUGAAGCACCAGAAGGCACUGGCUGUCCCGGGAGGCAUCCGGGCCUCCGGGCGCAGACGCGGGGCACCUCCUGUCUCCUCCAGCAACGCCCCGCACAGCGAGGCCCCAGGGCCUUUGCUCGCACCGGCCUCCCUCCCGGCCGCUUAACCGUUAACCCGAGCCCAGCAGGUCACGACGCAGCCAGGCCUUUCUUGAAAGUCUUCCCGUGUUCUUGUUGUGACUCCCGGUCCCGUGGUUCACUGUCCACAACCCGUGGGGCAGAAACCGAGGUCAGACAGCUUGUGGUUCGGGGACCUGGGUUCAAAUCCAGGUCUUUGGAUUCUGAUUCCUCCAUUUACCAGUUGCAGGUCCUUCUAGUUGUGGCAUGUGGGACACCGCCUCAACAUGGCCUGAUGAGCGGUGCCGUGUCCGCGCCCAGGAUCCGAACCGGCGAAACCCUGGGCCGCUGAAGUGGAGUGCCUGGACUUAACCACUUGGUCAUGGACCCAAGCCCUAAUUUUAAUUUUUAAUUACUAAAUUCUAAUUAAAAUUUCUUGAGAUUUUUAACUGAAUCACUCAAUUUGAAGUUUAAUUGAAAGAACAAAUUUUAAUGUCGUUUUAAUCAAUCAUUUUAAUUUAACUUUAAUCAAUACAUUUAAAUUCGUAACUUUAUAGUUUUUAUCAAUACAUUUUAAUGUUUUCAUUUAAUUAGUGUUUCCAUGUCAUUUUAGUGAGUAAGUUUAAAUUUUAAUGAAUAUGUUUUCAUAUAAAUUUUUAAAUUUUGUAGAAAAUUAAAACCCUCCCUGAGGACGCCGAAGGCCUCCUGGAGCCAUCACCCAUGCCAGCCCCCUCCCCAGAAGGAACUGCCAUCAUCCAGGAAUGCUGUGUAAGACGCAACCACCGAACCUUGGUGGAGGAUAAGAGUGAGCGUUUCCUGCUCGUGCCCCUGGAGUGAGCCGGGGGGCGGGCUCGGCGGCUCUGCGGGUCUUGGCGGGGCUCGCUCGCAGGUCUGGCGAGUGGAGGUGUUGAGUGAGGGAGGCUGGGCCUGGGCCGCUAGAGCAGCUCGACGGCUCCACGCGCCUCUCUCGCCCGCCUGCAAGCCAGCCCAGCCUCACAAGCCCAACUCAAGCUUCUGCUGGUGUCACGUCUCCUGAUGCCCCACCGGCCAGGGCUGAGCCCAGAGCCAGAGUAGGAGGGCGCCACCAAGUUUCAAGGCCUAGGCAUGGAUCCAGGGAAAAGAGGAGAACAGGGCAGUGUUUGGAAUCUACCAGAUAAACUCUUUCUGGAUAAAAAUAUUGAGACUCUAAGAAGAAAGGCUUUUGCUAUUGCUUUCUAUCUUUCCCACUUGGGACAAUGGAGCAGAUAUGUGAUGGUUGGAGCUGCAGCAGCCAUCUUGUGACCAUGAGGCAACAAGCAUGAGGCUCAAAAACAUGAGUACUCUGAGAACAGCAGAGCAGAAGGAUAUGAAAGCCUGAUGAUGUGGCUGAGCUGUGGAACCAUCCCUGG